CAUCCAGGUGGGGGGAGACAGUCAGUAAGUCAGGUGAUGUCCUUCCCUCUAACCUCUCCCAUCCAGGUGGGGGGUAACAGUCAGUAAACCAGGUGUUGUCCUUCCCUCUAACCUCUCCCAUCCAGGUGGGGGGUAACAGUCAGUAAGUCAGGUGUUGUCCUUCCCUCUAACCUCUCCCAUCCAGGUGGGGGGUAACAGUCUGUAAGUCAGGUGAUGUCCUUCUCUCUAACCUCUCCCAUCCAGGUGAGGGGUAACAGUCAGUAAACCAGGUGUUGUCCUUCCCUCUAACCUCUCCCAUCCAGGUGAGGGGUAACAGUCAGUAAACCAGGUGUUGUCCUUCCCUCUAACCUCUCCCAUCCAGGUGGGGGGUAACAGUCAGUAAGUCAGGUGAUGUUCUUCCCUCUAACCUCUCCCAUCCAGGUGAGGGGUAACAGUCUGUAAGUCAGGUGAUGUCCUUCCCUCUAACCUCU
rnacentral:lncRNA from 1 species